GAUGAACGCUGGCGGCGUGCCUAAUACAUGCAAGUCGAGCGAACAGACGAGGAGCUUGCUCCUCUGACGUUAGCGGCGGACGGGUGAGUAACACGUGGAUAACCUACCUAUAAGACUGGGAUAACUUCGGGAAACCGGAGCUAAUACCGGAUAAUAUAUUGAACCGCAUGGUUCAAUAGUGAAAGACGGUUUUGCUGUCACUUAUAGAUGGAUCCGCGCCGCAUUAGCUAGUUGGUAAGGUAACGGCUUACCAAGGCAACGAUGCGUAGCCGACCUGAGAGGGUGAUCGGCCACCCUGGAACUGAGACACGGUCCAGACGCCUACGGGAGGCAGCAGUAGGGAAUCUUCCGCAAUGGGCGAAAGCCUGACGGAGCAACGCCGCGUGAGUGAUGAAGGUCUUCGGAUCGUAAAACUCUGUUAUUAGGGAAGAACAAAUGUGUAAGUAACUAUGCACGUCUUGACGGUACCUAAUCAGAAAGCCACGGCUAACUACGUG
rnacentral:rRNA from 1 species